rnacentral:lncRNA from 1 species
CCUCCUCCCAGCAGCAGCACAAGCUGCAGUUCUUCUUUGCCCAAAUUCAUAGCCCUCAAGCCCUCACUGUCUAGGUCCCCAGACACAAGGCCCUGCUCUGUGAAGAAGAGAGUCUUCCAGGGAAGGAGAGCCUGUGCUUCCAGUCCUGCGAGAGGGUGUAGGAGGCAGGACAGACCACGGGCUCUGAACUGUUGCUCCAGGCUAGUGACAGAAGAAACACUUUUUGGAGGGUACUGAGGACAGGCAGUACUCAGGUAGAAACACAAGAAGAUGAAGGGCAGAAGGAAGUGGUGGAGAAGUAGGCAGAGGAGAAAAU